CCUACGGGUGGCUGCAGUGGGGAAUAUUGGACAAUGGGGGGAACCCUGAUCCAGCCAUGCCGCGUGUGUGAAGAAGGCCCUCGGGUUGUAAAGCACUUUCAGUGAGGAAGAACGCCUGGUGGUUAAUACCCAUCAGGAAAGACAUCACUCACAGAAGAAGCACCGGCUAACUCCGUGCCAGCACGCCGCGGUAAUACGGAGGGUGCGAGCGUUAAUCGGAAUUACUGGGCGUAAAGCGCGCGUAGGUGGCUUGAUAAGCCGGUUGUGAAAGCCCCGGGCUCAACCUGGGAACGGCAUCCGGAACUGUCAAGCUAGAGUGCAGGAGAGGAAGGUAGAAUUCCCGGUGUAGCGGUGAAAUGCGUAGAGAUCGGGAGGAAUACCAGUGGCGAAGGCGGCCUUCUGGACUGACACUGACACUGAGGUGCGAAAGCGUGGGUAGCAAACAGGAUUAGAUACCCUAGUAGUC
rnacentral:rRNA from 1 species